rnacentral:sRNA from 1 species
UGCAUAAAUGAGUUUCAGAUCCCUGUUUUCAAGAAAAUCUUUGAGCUUUGUCCGUGUAGAAAAAAAUUUCUUCAGUACGUUUCAUCUUGACCUGAACUUUCCACAUUCCUGAGCUGAUGUAUAUCCUUCACUCUAGAUUAGUGGUAAUUACAGAAAUUUGAUGGCAUAAAAUGUUGUUGCCCACACCUUAAAAUUUAAUUGCCCCCACCAAUUUUUGAUUCAGUAGUACUGGGUAGUGAAAUUAAAGACCUAAAAAUUUAAAGUAUUUUCUAAAUAUUUAGAAAUGUCUGUUAUAAAUUAGUAAUUUGGGAUUAAUUUACUAGAAUAUGCUAUGACAUUCUCUUUACUGAGCACAUUAGUAGUUUGGUAAUUGGAGAAUAUGAGCAAGAUUCACGUUAUUUAUUUUUAAUAAAACAGGUAUUGCUGUCUCUAAGCCUCACCUGAUAACCUGUUUGGAGCAAGGAAAAGAGCCCUGGAAUAGGAAGAGACAGGAGAUGGUAGCCAAACCCCCAGUUAUAUAUUCUUAUUUCACUGAAGACCUUUGGCCAGAGCAUAGCAUAAAAG